AGGAGGGGGAGGGACGAAUCGAAGCGACGCAGGGCUGAAUCUCAGUGGAUCGUGGCAGCAAGGCCACACUGCCACUUACAAUACCCCGUCGCGUAUUUAAGUCGUCUGCAAAGGAUUCUACCCGCCGCUCGGUAGAAAUUGUAAUUUGAGGCGGCCCUCGCAGCUCGUCCGCCCCGGGGGCUUCACCAACGACACGUGCCUUUGGGGGCCUAGGGCCCCUACUGAGNNNNNNNNNNU
rnacentral:lncRNA from 1 species